rnacentral:rRNA from 1 species
AGUUUGAUCCUGGCUCAGGAUGAACGCUAGCGGCAGGCUUAACACAUGCAAGUCGAGGGGUAUUGUUCUUCGGAAUGAGAGACCGGCGCACGGGUGCGUAACGCGUAUGCAAUCUACCUUUUACAGAGGGAUAGCCCAGAGAAAUUUGGAUUAAUACCUCAUAGCAUUACACAAUGGCAUCAUUGAGUAAUUAAAGUCACAACGGUAAAAGAUGAGCAUGCGUCCCAUUAGCUAGUUGGUAAGGUAACGGCUUACCAAGGCGACGAUGGGUAGGGGUCCUGAGAGGGAGAUCCCCCACACUGGUACUGAGACACGGACCAGACUCCUACGGGAGGCAGCAGUGAGGAAUAUUGGUCAAUGGGCGCAAGCCUGAACCAGCCAUGCCGCGUGCAGGAUGACGGUCCUAUGGAUUGUAAACUGCUUUUGUACGGGAAGAAACAACGAUUCGUGAAUCGUCUUGACGGUACCGUAAGAAUAAGGAUCGGCUAACUCCGUGCCAGCAGCCGCGGUAAUUC